GCGGGCAUGGCGGAACUGGCAGACGCGCCAGACUUAGGAUCUGGUGGAUUAAUCCCAUGGAGGUUCAAAUCCUCUUGCCCGCA
rnacentral:tRNA from 1 species